rnacentral:rRNA from 1 species
GACGAACGCUGGCGGCGUGCUUAACACAUGCAAGUCGAACGGAAAGGCCCUGCUUUUGUGGGGUGCUCGAGUGGCGAACGGGUGAGUAACACGUGUGUAACCUGCCCUUGACUUUGGGAUAACUUCAGGAAACUGGGGCUAAUACCGGAUAGGAGCUCCUGCUGCAUGGUGGGGGUUGGAAAGUUUCGGCGGUUGGGGAUGGACUCGCGGCUUAUCAGCUUGUUGGUGGGGUAGUGGCUUACCAAGGCUUUGACGGGUAGCCGGCCUGAGAGGGUGACCGGCCACAUUGGGACUGGGAUGCGGCCCAGACUACUACGGGAGGCAGCAGUGGGGAAUAUUGCACAAUGGGAGGAAGCCUGAUGCAGCAACGCCGCGUGCGGGAUGACGGCCUUCGGGUUGUGAACCGCUUUCGCCUGUGACGAAGCGUGAGUGACGGUAAUGGGUAAAGAAGCACCGGCUAACUACGUG